rnacentral:lncRNA from 1 species
UUACUCACCACUGGUCGUAAUUACUUGCUUGAUCACUUGUCUCCUGGUCUGUAAGCUGUUUGAGGGAGGGGAGCACAUCUGCCCUAUGCAACACUGUACCCUCAGUGUGGUACACAGGAGCACAUGCCUGACAUAUAGAAGUUAUGUGAGAAACAUUUGCCAAGUGGACAAAUGAAUAAUGCUGCCUGGACUCUAUAGAAAUCCCUUUUCUGCAUCAUUAAGGUUCCCAAGCCUGGCCAAGAAGCAGUGGGAUCUGAUUAGCCUCAUCUCCUCAUAACCCUACUUCCUAUCAUAUUAUAAUGAAAGCAGAUCUCAGCCCAAAUGCUGGCACACGUACAUAUUUAUCAGUAAGAAGAUCCAAAAUCGUUCAUGCAGCUGGUUCUGUAAGCUUGGCAAAUUUCCAGCCCUCUGACCUUUUCAGUGCUUUGUCCACACUCUACAUGAAAGGGCCUCUUAAGAGUGACAGGGCAGUAUUCUAAAGACCAGAUUUUAAUUGCACCAGGUAACUGAAUUGUCUGAAUUCACAGCUGAACACAGGACAAGGUCAGAAUCAUAUUUCUUAUGCCAUUUAGAAAGGUGACAAGUGAAGGGCUGGCCAAAAUCUUACACCCAGCUUACGUAAGAGUAGAGACUGUCCCUAAUGCUUUCCCCAGUCCACUUGUCUCGAACACCAUUAGGUUCAAUAGUAAAAGCCCAUUUCUCACUUCCUUCAUGUUAAUUAACUGAUCACUAAUUUUACCAAUGAGAAGCCAUUUUUAUUAUUUAUCAUUAUGAUUUUUAUCAUUUUGUUAAUUAGCCAAGCUUCUGCUGUUGACUCCAGAUAAAGAGAGUUAAAGCACUUGGGGUGACCACCUAAGUAGAUUUUUUCAUGGUGAACAAAUGGAAGCAACAGAAGCAGCUCAGACUUUUGAAAAGUGAUGAAAAAGGCCCAUGAUGCCCUGCUCCAUGAAAAUGAAGAAGAGGAUGACUUAGCCCUGCAGGGUUCUUUUCUUUGCAUGUUCUUACCAACCCUCAGGGGAGAUUCAGUCUACUAGCUGGCUUCCCCACGUGGACCUCACUCUGUGGUCCUCUUCUCCCUGAAGCCUGUCACAGUUCCUGUGCAGAGAGAGAGGGCACUGCAGCACCCAGGCGCUGACUGCCUUUUGUCAGUCUCAUUUGCAGGCCCCCAGCUGGAGAACCCAGGAGGAAGAGGAAAAAAGUUUUUUCCUCCUCUACACUCCCCAUGCAUGACUAAAGAGUAGGAGGAGUCAGCAAGACAUAUAUAGUACCCAGGAGGUGGACAAACAACUGCCUUGGUGGAAACUCUGUCCUUUCUGGACUUAUCCUGGUGCCACUGAGACUGUGCAGGUCCCACACUUACGGGGAAAGCAUCACCCGAAAGUGAGAACGCCUAGAGGCAGGAAUCAUGGAGGUUUCCUUAACUGUCUGUCUGCAACAGCAGGUGCUAGAGAUGACACUGCAGAGUAGAGAACAAAGGAAUCUUAGUAAUUGUUCAAUCCAAUCUCCACACUUUAAAGAUGAAGAAACUGGUAUUGAGAAAAAUACACAGCUUAUCCAAGGUUGCACUGCCGGUUGGUAGCUGAGAUGAAUUUAGAACCCACAUCUGAUGACUACACCAUAUUGCUCCCAGUUUCCCUGUCUGUUCCACAUGUAAAAGUCUGACUCUUCACUUCUCCUUUGAGUAUAUAGACUUUUAACAUUUUUGUAUGUCAAGAUGGACUUUUCCUCAUACCCAGCCCCUGCCUUUUCUCCUCCCUUCAUACCUUGCAGGAUCUUUAACAGAAUUUAAAAGGAGUUUUUUGUUUUGUUUUGAUGUAUCUAAUAAAAGUCAAGGGAGGGAGAGGGCCAGUAUAAGCAAGAGAACGGUUUACCUAUUUUGUAGAUGCUGUAGUCUGAGGAAUCAGAAACACACAAAGGUUUGAAGAACUGGUACAUGCUCCCAGAUGGGAAGCCAGGACUCUUGGUAGGAUCUUGAGGACAAGGCAAAGGACAAUAAGAGAGUGAGGGGAUCCUAGAGAUGGAAUCAAGGAAGAGAAACUAGAGAGAGAAAAAGGAACUGGCUAUCCAUCCAAGAUGGAUCCUGUGUGGACUGAUGGGUGCCUUGGCAUCAUCAUUUAGCAGACUUCAUGUGGUUGAAUAAUUGGCCAAUGGAAGGAAUUUCUUUUUUGGUAACAGACUGUGUGUGUACAGUUAUGGGUCUUAAUUUAUAAUAAAAGGUUACAUUGAAAAUUGA